rnacentral:tRNA from 1 species
GCAUUGGUGGUUCAGUGGUGUAAUUCUCGCCUCCCACGCGGGAGACCCGGGUCCGAUUCCCGGCCAAUACA